GUAUAUAUUACUUCACACACAUUUUUCACAAUAACGGCUUUAUUUCUUCUUCUUCUUCUUCUUGUUUUCUUGAGGAAGAUGGUGAUGAAAAAUUGUUGAUAAUGGUGGCGAAUUCAUGGGGUUGGAGAAUAAUCAGGCUGGAGCGGCCACGAAACGACCGGCUAUUUCUAAUAUCUCGAAUUCAUACAAUUGUAUCAGGAAAUACAGAGGUUCCAGAUGCAAUGGAGAUGAUAUUUCAAUCUGCGCUGGCUUUGGGUUGAAAGGGAGUUGCAAGUGUUCUUAUAUUGGUCUAUCCUGGUGUUAUUGUUGAAUCAAAUUCGAACAUAAACAAAGUGACUUUCAUUAUAAAACUUUAGGAUAGAGGGAAUCAUAAAGUGAAUAGCUUGUACACUUGAAUCAAGUUAAACUUUUUGUUGGCAGCUCUUCUAGUAGAAUGAGUAAUUAAAAACAAAAUUUUGUCUGCUAUACUAAAGGAAAUUUCUGAUAAGUUUGCAUAUGGAGAGAAAAUUUUUGUUUUUGUAUUGCAGUUAUAUAUGUUAAACCUUACUUGCAGGUAUGCAUUUGUCGCUCCCGGAAUUGUAGAUGGGAAAAAUGCUCAGUCUCCAGUAGGGGAACUUGGAAUGGUUGAGAUGACCCAGGCUCUGGAAUAAUUGAUGUUUGCUAUGAGCAGGAUAUAUGGGGGAGGGUAACAGACAUAAUUCACAUAAGUGCUGGGUUGUAUAUGAUAUAUCAUGAUAUUUGAUGGUUCAACCAAAAAUAUUGAGCAUACUCCUGAUGUUAAGGAAUACAGUCCUUCAGAAAUCUACGCAGAAAGUUAUUUUUAAUCCCCUAAUGAUAUCUGCAGAAUGAAACAGGUCCAAAUGAAGCAAAGUGAUAUCGCGGAUUCAUAUAACUGAUUACUUUACACAGAGAAUGUUAGUAGGAAACCUUGUGGAUUGUUCCAUUGCUUUUCAAAGGCAGAGUCUUACAGCAUGGACCACUAUAGCUGGUAAAUGUAGGAAGACGGUAAAUGUGCAAUUGACAAAGUCAAUAUCUCCAAAGCGAGCAUUGUACAAUAUCUCUUGGCUAUAUACCACAAGGUACCCCAUGAAAAAUGCAUGCAGAGUGUAUACCUACAUACAAGCAGUACUCAUCAUCAGGUCAGACAUAUUAUUUAUUCAUUAGACAGAAGUAACACAUCGUAUGCAUACAACUGCAUGCUUACCACUAAUAUCCAAUGAGCUAUGUGGCUGUCAAGGAUAUCUAAAGCAUAAAGACAAACGCCGUAGAUUAUUACAGCAUUAGAAUAAAGCAGGGUUCCCAAGUAGAUUUCUGUCCUUUCCAUCGUUAUCAAGGCUACAAGCCAGAAAGUUCCAAUGCCAAUUGUUGAACCUACCAAAAGGCCCAAAGCAAGGCUGGAGAGAAAGAAAGGAAUGCUUUCUGAAGUUAGAUAUUGUUCAAAAUAUUCUUCAACUGCACAUACAAAAGGGGCAGAGUAACUGCUGUUGUUCUCAUUAAGAUGCAAUAAAUAAAAUGUAGGAAUUCACAGAGCAAGUGAAUGUCUUUGUUAAAUGUAAAAUAUAUUUAAGCGCACUCUUCAUAAUUUGGUCGUGUUUCAUAAUUUCACUAAUUCAUGAGCAAUACUUGGUGCAAA